CCUCUUCUCCUCCUCAUAAAUUGGUCUCUCUUUGCCAGCGACGACACACAGAGAAAGAGACUUAUCUAUAAGUCUUAAUUUUGGGUUGAAGACUUUGGUUUCCAAACCCUAAUCUAUAAUGGGCGUAUGCAAGAGCAGCACCUUAGGUAACUGCUAUGUGGAAUUAUUUAGUGGAUUGAUCCUCCUGAUGCCAUUUCAAAAGCAAUUGAUUGUGGAAAAAAUGAAAGUGAGAUGCUUGAUGGUUGCCGUGCACUUCUGUCAAUAGCAACUGUAACUAAUUCCCUUAUGUUUGACCAACUCUUGAAAUCUAUACGGUUUGCUUUGUAAUAUUCUCUUGUGGCCCUUCAAUAUAUAUCUUUAAUUUAAUGUUUUUUAUUAAUUACAGUUGCAUUCACAUUACAAUGUCCUUUUAUGACAUAAUUUAUUUUGUUCACAAUUUUACACAAGUUAACUCUUUACCUUGAUGUUUAGCCCUUUUAGCACUCUUAGCCUGUUGGCUGGCUUGAUGUGUGAAGUUAAAAAAGUUCUUAUGGUAAAUUACACUGAAAAGGAGACAUGGAGUUGGGUGGCACGUGAUAUUUUAUUAGAUACCUAGGCGGCACUUCUUGGGUUAUAUGUUCCAUUAAUUACUUUUUCAGUAUCUUGUCACAUGUGCAUGGCAAUUCUGAAAACACUUUCAUUCCUUUAUUUAUCUGUAUAUUUGGAAAGAAUCGUAGGGUAGCUUGAUGGUUAUUUUUUUUCAAAUCCUCAUUCUGCAUUAGAAGGAUUGUUAUUAUGGGCAAAUAUUAUCAAGUAUUAUUGGUGUAAGAUGAGGUUUGAACAAUAUGACAGUUGCUUUAUUAAGUACAUUUUUCUUCCUCUACUUGUCCAAUAGCAGCUCAUAAACUCAAAGUUUUGCCAUUCAUCCGCAGCCAUUGUGUACUACUGGUCAAAAUAUAUUACUUUCACCAGAAGGGAUAAAUGUGGCAGCCAAUCUCUUUGCCUUGAUUGUAGAGUCUGAAUUAAAGGGUGACUUUGAUGUUUACCCUCUAUUUUGCUUUUCUAUUACUUGUUUAAGAAUUAUUAUUGGUAACUCUGAUGUAACUCUAAUGUUUAUUUUGGUUAAAAAAAUAUAUAUAUAAUUUGCGGAAUUUAAAAAAUGUAAAUGUAAUGAGUACUAAUGUCAAAUAGCUAAGGUUGUAUUGUAAUUAAUAGCCUUUUAACUUUCUGAUAUAUAGAUUAGGACCAUUCUUGAAUAAACACAGAGUGACAUUUGGGAAUAGAUCAUCUUCCUAUUAUAUAUUGUAAGAUAGGCAUACUUCUAGAAAUAAACUUUAAGAAUGAAGGGCAGAAAAUAAAUUCAGAACAAUUAUUGUUCCCUUAUUAUGCUUUUAUCUUCCUUAAUCAGGUCUUUAGAACCUUUUAUUUGGGAUGAGCCCUAAUUGAAUGAUCUAAUUUUUUUUUUUAUUUUCUUUGUCUUACUACACAAUUUUCUUAGUAUUUAUAUUUUUGUUGUGCUCCUUGUAUUAGCAUGUGUUUUGCUGCCUCAUAUUUGGUCCAACAAAGUGCAGUUGAUGUUGUAGUCAACUUAACUUCACUCCAGAACUCCUGCUCCCACUUUUUUGUUGCCUUGUGUUAUUGAACAUAUAGGCACCUAUAAAACAAUUGAGUGAUUGAAAUGUUUCCUGUUAAAUAAGUUUAAGUUUACUCAGCUAUCAUUAUUGUUUAAUUUUACAUAUGUAAACAAAACUCUUAGUACUUCUUUCCAGAAAAAGAAUUGUUUGUACUUUCGUCUACUUGGCAAUUGCUUCAACAUUAUAAAAUACAAAGUUAUCGUGGAGCCUUCAUUUAUAGUUUUCUUUGCUGGUCCCUUCAGUUCUUAAUGUUUAAGUUCUAUUUAUAUUUCACUUAAAUUUGAUCUUGUUCCAUGUUUUUUUAUUUAUUUUAAAUCUGGAACAAAAUUUAUUGCUUGGAUGAGUCACAUUAUUGGCAGUUUUUGGAGUACCAGCACUUCUACAAUUUACCUUGUGAAAUUUUUAUAUGAUCCAGAUAUUUGAUUCAUCUUUAUGUGUAUCUUAUCUUUAUUCUCAAUGAGACCAGAUUUAUAUAGCAAAAAUGGAUUGUUGCAGUUCUUUUCAUGGUUCUUGUCUACGCCAGGGAGUCAGUAAGGAUCUACCUAUUUAGAAGUAUACUUAUGUCUUCUUUAACAAUUUUGAUGUAAAAGGAAACUGCAGGUUUAAUUAUUACAUUAUAUAUUGGGGAUGGUUUGGUUCAAUUAUCUCUGGAAGUCUACAAAAUUAUCACUUACUGUAAUUAGUUGGGAUUGAGGCUUUUUUUUUUAGUUAAUUUAAGUGUCAUUUAUUGUAUUUCUAAUUCAUGUUUACAAUUUCAAUCAGUGAAGCAUGAGCCAUCUUCUAGUAGUGUUCUUGCACCCAAUGUUAUUUACAACUCCAAGAAUCAAGGUGAUUCAGGUUCCCGUGGACAGUUGCAUAUGUUGUCUACAUCAGUUCUUCAUCUACCUGAACGACCUAAUCAACCUGAAUGCCAAUAUUUCAUUAGCACUAAGAGCUGCAAAUAUGGAUUUGAUUGCAAGUACAAUCAUCUUAUGAAGGGAAGCUCAAUUGUUCAUCUUUCAGCGGCAGUCAGCACCAUUGCCACAACCACCUGAAUGACCAAUUUGAUUUUCUUUUCUUUAGUUAAUUGAGUAUUAAAGACAUUUGAGCAUUCUUGCUGAAUAUUUUGGUACACAAAUUUUGGAGCUUUUAGUUGAUUUCUACUCUUUAUCUUUUUUAGGCUACAUAUUGAUGACUUUGCAUCUUGUUUGAAGAUGAUGGAAUUAUUUUUUGUGCUAGCAGAUGCUUUUUGUUUUUGUUUAGAAAUUGGAAAUUUUAUGGAUCUUAAAUUUUAUUGUGGAUUUAUUUUGUUUGAUGGCUA